rnacentral:rRNA from 1 species
UACGUAGGUGGCAAGCGUUGUCCGGAAUUAUUGGGCGUAAAGCGCGCGCAGGCGGUCCUUUAAGUCUGAUGUGAAAGCCCACGGCUCAACCGUGGAGGGUCAUUGGAAACUGGUGGACUUGAGUGCAGGAGAGAAGAGUGGAAUUCCACGUGUAGCGGUGAAAUGCGUAGAGAUGUGGAGGAACACCAGUGGCGAAGGCGACUCACUGGACCGACACUGACGCUGAGGCGCGAAAGCGUGGGGAGCAAACAGG